UACGGAGGAUGCAAGCGUUAUCCGGAAUUAUUGGGCGUAAAGCGUCUGUAGGUGGAUGUUCAAGUCUGCUGUCAAAGACCGGGGCUCAACCCUGGACAGGCGGUGGAAACUACCAAGCUAGAGUACGGUAGAGGCAGAGGGAAUUUCCGGUGGAGCGGUGAAAUGCGUUGAGAUCGGGAAGAACACCAACAGGCGAAAGCACUCUGCUGGGCCGUCACUGACACUCAGAGACGAAAGCUAGGGGAGCGAAUGGG
rnacentral:rRNA from 1 species